rnacentral:rRNA from 1 species
CCUACGGGGCGCUGCAGUGGGGAAUAUUGCACAAUGGGGGAAACCCUGAUGCAGCAACGCCGCGUGAAGGAAGACGGUUUUCGGAUUGUAAACCUCCGUUUUUAGGGAAGAAUAAGGAAGGUAGCUAAGGAGCAAGCCACGGCUAACUACGUGCCAGCAGCCGCGGUAAUACGUAGGUGGCAAGCGUUGUCCGGAAUUACUGGGUGUAAAGGGAGCGCAGGCGGGAUGCCAAGUCAGCUGUGAAAACUACGGGCUUAACUUGUAGACUGCAGUUGAAACUGGUUGUCUUGAGUGAAGUAGAGGUUGGCGGAAUGCCAGGUGUAGCGGUGAAAUGCGUAGAUAUUCGGAAGAACACCGGUGGCGAAGGCGGCCAACUGGGCUUUAACUGACGCUGAGGCUCGAAAGUGUGGGGAGCAAACAGGAUUAGAUACCCCUGUAGUC